rnacentral:rRNA from 1 species
CCUACGGGAGGCAGCAGUGAGGAAUAUUGCGCAAUGGAGGAAACUCUGACGCAGCCAUGCCGCGUGUGUGAUGAAGGCCCUAGGGUUGUAAAGCACUUUCAACGGUGAAGAUGAUGACGGUAGCCGUAGAAGAAGCCCCGGCUAACUUCGUGCCAGCAGCCGCGGUAAUACGAAGGGGGCGAGCGUUAUUCGGAAUUAUUGGGCGUAAAGGGCUCGCAGGCUGCUUGAACAGUUAGACGUGAAAUCCCCGGGCUUAACCUGGGAGCUGCGUUUAAUACUAGCAAGCUAGAGAAAUAGAGAGGAAAGUGGAACUCCCAGUGUAGAGGUGAAAUUCGUAGAUAUUGGGAAGAACACCAGUGGCGAAAGCGACUUUCUGGCUAUUUUCUGACGCUGAGGAGCGAAAGCGUGGGGAGCAAACAGGAUUAGAUACCCUGGUAGUCCACGCCGUAAACGAUGUGUGCUAGAUGUUGGAGGGUUACCUUUCAGUGUCGCAGCUAACGCACUAAGCACACCGCCUGGGAAGUACGGUCGCAAGAUUAAAACUCAAGGAAUUGACGG